CCUACGGGUGGCUGCAGUGAGGAAUAUUGGUCAAUGGACGAGAGGCUGAACCAGCCAAGUAGCGUGAAGGAUGACUGCCCUAUGGGUUGUAAACCUCUUUUAUGUGGGAAUAAAACAGUCCAUGCAUACCUCCUUGUAGGUACCACAUGAAUAAGGAUCGGCUAACUCCGUGCCAGCAGCCGCGGUAAUACGGAGGAUCCGAGCGUUAUCCGGAUUUAUUGGGUUUAAAGGGCGCGUAGGUUGAUUUUUAAGCCGGCUGGGAAAGUUUGGGGCUCAACCGUAAAAGUGCAGAGGAAACUGGCAGACUUGAGUACGGGAGAGGUGAGCGGAAUUCGUGGUGUAGCAGUGAAAUGCUUAGAUAUCACGAAGAACUCCGAUUGCGAAGGCAG
rnacentral:rRNA from 1 species